CCUGGCUCAGGAUGAACGCUAGCGGCAGGCUUAACACAUGCAAGUCGAGGGGCAUCGGGAGUAGCAAGUACUUGCCGGCGACCGGCGCAAGGGUGCGUAACGCGUGAGCAACAUGCCCGUAUCAGGGGGAUAAUCCAUGGAAACGUGGUCUAAUACCCCAUAGUAAUUAUGUAAGGCAUCUUAUAUAAUUUAAAGCUUGGUGGAUACGGAUUGGCUCGCGUGACAUUAGCUGGAUGGUAAGGUAACGGCUUACCAUGGCUACGAUGUCUAGGGGUUCUGAGAGGAAGGUCCCCCCACACUGGAACUGAGACACGGUCCAGACUCCUACGGGAGGCAGCAGUGAGGAAUAUUGGACAAUGGAUGGAAAUCUGAUCCAGCCAUGCCGCGUGCAGGAAAGACGGCCCUAUGGGUUGUAAACUGCUUUUGUAUGGGAGCAAUAAGGGCUACGUGUAGUCCGAUGAGAGUACCAUACGAAUAAGCACCGGCUAACUCCGUGCCAGCAGCCGC
rnacentral:rRNA from 1 species